rnacentral:rRNA from 1 species
AUGUCCCUCUUCCGGGUCGUGCCUGCGAAUGCAGGUCCCUACGCCGUGGCGCCGCGGGCCACCGUCGUCCGCUUCAUCACCUUGCGCUCGACCGUCGCGCGCCCCGGCCUCGCAGCAAGAGGGGUGCGGGUUACGCGUCGUCUCCCCUCGCGGUGUGCACCCGAGGCGCCGCCGCCUCCGCCCGACGUGCUGCCACCUCCGCUCGACGCCUCGCUGCCGCCACCGCCCGACGCCUCGCUGCCUCCACCGCCUGACGCCAAGGAAUCGUCAAGAUUGUUCACAGGGUUUGCGAAGGCGUGGGGCGAAGUGAAGAGGAAUUGCUUGUACCUUUCUAUCAUGCUAGUCUGUAUCGGGGUUGGCUAUUUAGUCACAAAGGAAAACCCGCAAGCUGCUUCCUUAGUUACCAUGUGCGACAAGGUCGAGAAGCUGUACAAGUUGCUGUCUCGCUUGGUUCCUGUUUUCACUGCGAUUCUUAAGUGUUUCAAGUGA